rnacentral:rRNA from 1 species
ACACAUGCAGGUCGAGCGGGGAAGGUAGCUUGCUACCUGACCUAGCGGCGGACGGGUGAGUAAUGCUUAGGAAUCUGCCUAUUAGUGGGGGACAACAUCUCGAAAGGGAUGCUAAUACCGCAUACGUCCUACGGGAGAAAGCAGGGGACCUUCGGGCCUUGCGCUAAUAGAUGAGCCUAAGUCGGAUUAGCUAGUUGGUGGGGUAAAGGCCUACCAAGGCGACGAUCUGUAGCGGGUCUGAGAGGAUGAUCCGCCACACUGGGACUGAGACACGGCCCAGACUCCUACGGGAGGCAGCAGUGGGGAAUAUUGGACAAUGGGGGGAACCCUGAUCCAGCCAUGCCGCGUGUGUGAAGAAGGCCUUUUAGUUGUAAAGCACUUUAAGCGAGGAGGAGGCUACCGAGAUUAAUACUCUUGGAUAGUGGACGUUACUCGCAGAAUAAGCACCGGCUAACUCUGUGCCAGCAGCCGCGGUAAUACAGAGGGUGCAAGCGUUAAUCGGAUUUACUGGGCGUAAAGCGCGCGUAGGUGGCCAAUUAAGUCAAAUGUGAAAUCCCCGAGCUUAACUUGGGAAUUGCAUUCGAUACUGGUUGGCUAGAGUAUGGGAGAGGAUGGUAGAAUUCCAGGUGUAGCGGUGAAAUGCGUAGAGAUCUGGAGGAAUACCGAUGGCGAACGCAGCCAUCUGGGCCUAAUACUGACACUGAGUGCGAAAGCAUGGGGAGCAAACAGGAUUAGAUACCCUGGUAGUCAUGCCGUAACGAUGUCUACUAGCCGUUGGGGCUUUGAGCU